UACGUAGGUGGCGAGCGUUGUCCGGAAUUACUGGGCGUAAAGGAUGCGUAGGUGGAUACUUAAGUGGGAUGUGAAAUCCCCGGGCUCAACCCGGGAACUGCAUUCCAAACUGGGUGUCUAGAGUGCAGGAGAGGGAAGCGGAAUUCCUAGUGUAGCGGUGAAAUGCGUAGAUAUUAGGAGGAACACCAGUGGCGAAGGCGGCUUUCUGGACUGUAACUGACACUGAGGCAUGAAAGCGUGGGUAGCAAAC
rnacentral:rRNA from 1 species